rnacentral:rRNA from 1 species
UGGAAGUAAAAAGUCGUAACAAGGUCUCCGUUGGUGAACCAGCGGAGGGAUCAUUACCGAGUUUACAACUCCCAAACCCAAUGUGAACGUUACCAAACUGUUGCCUCGGCGGGAUCUCUGCCCCGGGUGCGUCGCAGCCCCGGACCAAGGCGCCCGCCGGAGGACCAACCAAAACUCUUAUUGUAUACCCCCUCGCGGGUUUUUUACUAUCUGAGCCAUCUCGGCGCCCCUCGUGGGCGUUUCGAAAAUGAAUCAAAACUUUCAACAACGGAUCUCUUGGUUCUGGCAUCGAUGAAGAACGCAGCGAAAUGCGAUAAGUAAUGUGAAUUGCAGAAUUCAGUGAAUCAUCGAAUCUUUGAACGCACAUUGCGCCCGCCAGUAUUCUGGCGGGCAUGCCUGUCCGAGCGUCAUUUCAACCCUCGAACCCCUCCGGGGGGUCGGCGUUGGGGAUCGGCCCUUUACGGGGCCGGCCCCGAAAUACAGUGGCGGUCUCGCCGCAGCCUCUCCUGCGCAGUAGUUUGCACACUCGCAUCGGGAGCGCGGCGCGUCCACAGCCGUUAAACACCCCAAACUUCUGAAAUGUUGACCUC